AUUGAUGUCUGAUCUAAAGGAAUGGGGCGGUUAAAGGUACAGGCCUGGUUUGGGGCAGUUAAAGGUACAGACCUGGUUUGGGGCAGUUAAAGGUACAGACCUGGUUUGGGGCGGGUAAAGGUACAGGCCUGGUUUGGGGCGGUUAAAGGUACAGACCUGGUUUGGGGCGGUUAAAGGUACAGACCUGGUUUGGGGGGGUUAAAGGUACAGACCUGGUUUGGGGGGGUUAAAGGUACAGACAUAGUUUGGGGCGGUUAAAGGUACAGACAUAGUUUGGGGCGGUUAAAGG